rnacentral:rRNA from 1 species
CCUACGGGGGGCAGCAGUGAGGAAUAUUGGUCAAUGGACGAGAGUCUGAACCAGCCAAGUAGCGUGAAGGAUGACUGCCCUAUGGGUUGUAAACUUCUUUUAUAUGGGAAUAAAAUGUUCCACGUGUGGGAUUUUGUAUGUACCAUAUGAAUAAGGAUCGGCUAACUCCGUGCCAGCAGCCGCGGUAAUACGGAGGAUCCGAGCGUUAUCCGGAUUUAUUGGGUUUAACGGGAGCGUAGGUGGAUUGUUAAGUCAGUUGUGAAAGUUUGCGGCUCAACCGUAAAAUUGCAGUUGAAACUGGCAGUCUUGAGUACAGUAGAGGUGGGCGGAAUUCGUGGUGUAGCGGUGAAAUGCUUAGAUAUCACGAAGAACUCCGAUUGCGAAGGCAGUUCACUGGACUGCAACUGACACUGAGGCUCGAAAGUGUGGGUAUCAAACAGGAUUAGAUACCCGAGUAGUC